UACGGAGGAUGCAAGCGUUAUCCGGAAUGAUUGGGCGUAAAGCGUCCGCAGGUGGCAAUGUAAGUCUGCUGUCAAAGCGUCUGGCUCAACCAGAUAAAGGCAGUGGAAACUACAUAGCUAGAGUAAGGUAGGGGUAGAGGAAUUCCUGGUGUAGCGGUGAAAUGCGUAGAGAUCAGGAAGAACACCGGUGGCGAAAGCGCUCUGCUGGACCUUAACUGACACUGAGGGACGAAAGCUAGGGGAGCGAAUGGG
rnacentral:rRNA from 1 species